UACGAAGGGGGCUAGCGUUGCUCGGAAUCACUGGGCGUAAAGGGUGCGUAGGCGGGUCUUUAAGUCAGGGGUGAAAUCCUGGAGCUCAACUCCAGAACUGCCUUUGAUACUGAGGAUCUUGAGUUCGGGAGAGGUGAGUGGAACUGCGAGUGUAGAGGUAGAAUUCGAUAGAUAUUCGCAAGACACCAGUGGCGAAGGCGGCUCACUGGCCCGAUACGUGACGACUGAGGCAC
rnacentral:rRNA from 1 species